rnacentral:rRNA from 1 species
CCUACGGGAGGCAGCAGUGAGGAAUAUUGGUCAAUGGGCGCGAGCCUGAACCAGCCAAGUAGCGUGAAGGAUGACUGCCCUACGGGUUGUAAACUUCUUUUAUAAAGGAAUAAAGUGAGGCACGUGUGCCUUUUUGUAUGUACUUUAUGAAUAAGGAUCGGCUAACUCCGUGCCAGCAGCCGCGGUAAUACGGAGGAUCCGAGCGUUAUCCGGAUUUAUUGGGUUUAAAGGGAGCGUAGAUGGGUUGUUAAGUCAGUUGUGAAAGUUUGCGGCUCAAACGUAAAAUUGCAAUUGAUACUGGCAGCCGUGAGUACAGUUGAGGUAGGCGGAAUUCGUGGUGUAGCGGUGAAAUGCUUAGAUAUCACGAAGAACUCCGAUUGCGAAGGCAGCUUACUAAACUGCCACUGACAUUGAUGCUCGAAAGUGUGGGGAUCAAACAGGAUUAGAUACCCUUGUAGUC